rnacentral:rRNA from 1 species
UGGCCAGACUCCUACGGGAGGCAGCAGUGAGGAAUAUUGGUCAAUGGUCGGGAGACUGAACCAGCCAAGCCGCGUGAGGGAUGAAGGUACAGAGUAUCGUAAACCUCUUUUGUCAGGGAACAAAGGCGAGGACGCGUCCCCGGAUGAGUGUACCUGAAGAAAAAGCAUCGGCUAACUCCGUGCCAGCAGCCGCGGUAAUACGGAGGAUGCGAGCGUUAUCCGGAUUUAUUGGGUUUAAAGGGUGCGUAGGCGGAUUGAUAAGUUAGAGGUGAAAUGUCCGGGCUCAACUCGGGAACUGCCUCUAAUACUGUUGAUCUAGAGAGUAGAUGCGGUAGGCGGAAUGUAUGGUGUAGCGGUGAAAUGCUUAGAGAUCAUACAGAACACCGAUUGCGAAGGCAGCUUACCAAUCUAUAUCUGACGUGAGGCACGAAAGCGUGGGGAGCAAACAGGAUUAGAUACCCGCGUAG